rnacentral:rRNA from 1 species
AGCGAACGCUGGCGGCAGGCUUAACACAUGCAAGUCGAGCGGGCGUAGCAAUACGUCAGCGGCAGACGGGUGAGUAACGCGUGGGAACGUACCUUUUGGUUCGGAACAACACAGGGAAACUUGUGCUAAUACCGGAUAAGCCCUUACGGGGAAAGAUUUAUCGCCGAAAGAUCGGCCCGCGCCUAAUUAGCUAGUUGGUGAGGUAACGGCUCACCAAGGCGACGAUCAGUAGCUGGUCUGAGAGGAUGAUCAGCCACAUUGGGACUGAGACACGGCCCAAACUCCUACGGGAGGCAGCAGUGGGGAAUAUUGGACAAUGGGCGCAAGCCUGAUCCAGCCAUGCCGCGUGAGUGAUGAAGGCCCUAGGGUUGUAAAGCUCUUUUGUGCGGGAAGGAUAAUGACGGUACCGCAAGAAUAAGCCCCGGCUAACUUCGUGCCAGCAGCCGCGGUAAU